rnacentral:rRNA from 1 species
UACGUAGGGUGCGAGCGUUAUCCGGAUUUAUUGGGCGUAAAGGGUGUGUAGGCGGUGAGGUAAGUUAGGUGUGAAAGCUACGGGCUCAACCCGUAGUUGCGCCUAAAACUACUUUACUAGAGAAUGCUAGAGGAAAGCGGAACUCAUGGUGUAGCGGUGAAAUGCGUAGAUAUCAUGAGGAACACCAGUGGCGAAGGCGGCUUUCUGGGGCAUUUCUGACGCUGAGACACGAAAGCAUGGGGAGCAAACAGG